GAUGAACGCUGGCAGCGUGCCUAAUACAUGCAAGUCGAGCGAACAGAUAAGGAGCUUGCUCCUUUGACGUUAGCGGCGGACGGGUGAGUUACACGUGGAUAACCUACCUAUAAGACUGGGAUAACUUCGGGAAACCGGAGCUAAUACCGGAUAACAUAUUGAACCGCAUGGUUCAAUAGUGAAAGGCGGCUUUGCUGUCACUUAUAGAUGGAUCCGCGCCGUAUUAGCUAGUUGGUAAGGUAACGGCUUACCAAGGCAACGAUACGUAGCCGACCUGAGAGGGUGAUCGGCCACACUGGAACUGAGACACGGUCCAGACUCCUACGGGAGGCAGCAGUAGGGAAUCUUCCGCAAUGGGCGAAAGCCUGACGGAGCAACGCCGCGUGAGUGAUGAAGGUCUUCGGAUCGUAAAACUCUGUUAUCAGGGAAGAACAAAUGUGUAAGUAACUGUGCACAUCUUGACGGUACCUGAUCAGAAAGCCACGGCUAACUACGUG
rnacentral:rRNA from 1 species